GAGUCUAGCAUGUGCGCGAGUCAUUGGGACUCCGCGAAACCUAUAGGCGUAAUGAAAGUAAAAGUUUUUCCUAUUAAAACCUAGGGAGGAUGAGUCUUUCCUUUUUUAAGGGGGACGCCGCACUCCCGGGGCGUCUCGUUCUCAUCGCGAGAUGAGGCGCACCCAGAGCGUACACGCUGGGACCCGAAAGAUGGUGAACUAUGCCUGGUCAGGACGAAGUCAGGGGAAACCCUGAUGGAGGUCCGUAGCGAUUCUGACGUGCAAAUCGAUCGUCGGAACUGGGUAUAGGGGCGAAAGACUAAUCGAACCAUCUAGUAGCUGGUUCCCUCCGAAGUUUCCCUCAGGAUAGCUGGCGCUCGCUUAAUUUUAUAGCGAGUCUCAUUCGGUAAAGCGAAUGAUUAGAGGCAUUGGGGUCGAAACGGCCUCAACCUAUUCUCAAACUUUAAAUGGGUGAGAACUCCGGCUUGCUUAAAUAAUGAAGCCGCGAGUGUUGUAUAUAUAUUUAUAUAUAUAAAAUAAGGAUCAGAGUGCCAAGUGGGCCACUUUUGGUAAGCAGAACUGGCGCUGUGGGAUGAACCAAACGCAGAGUUAAAGCGCCUAAAUCGACGCUUAUGGGAUACCAUGAAAGGCGUUGGUAACUUAAGACAGCAGGACGGUGGCCAUGGAAGUCGGA
rnacentral:rRNA from 1 species